rnacentral:misc_RNA from 1 species
GGGGUGUUAUCACUUGUAAAGGUUCAUAGAUGAUUUCAGCAAAGAUAAAUAAAAGUAGCAAUGACACAACAGAAACAGGCAACCAUAUCCGUUUACAUUGGGGAAAAAAAGUGAAGCAAAUGCACGAUAUCUCAGUAACUAUAUGUCAUGCAAUCCUUCAUAUAUUACAACGCAACAAAAAUCCUACAAAGCCACAAUACAGAUAUACAUAAGGAUAAUACAAAAUCAACAGCAAGGCCCCUGACAUGAUGAAGAACUUCCAGAAAAAGGUAACAUAAAUAUCUCUAGUUCAUAUUUUGCCCAAAAAACCAAAAGAAAAAACCUUGGACCAUAGAAGUUUAUUAAUCCAGUUAUCUGAAACAAAAAUGUAUCAGGAUAAACCAAAUUCAACUGUGGUAUAGCCACCCAUAUGUGACAAGAAAGUUUGAGAAAUGAGUUACACCAAAGAUCUCUAACUCAUAUUUUAUUAACUGGAAUGAGGAAAAAAUAAUGGCCCUGGAGCUUAGAAGUUACCAAUCAUGCUAUUUGAAAUAACAAGUAUGCAAUAGGAACAACGAAAGCAGUAGAUCCAGAUUGCAGAAAGAAAACAUCAUAUAGUUUCUAGGGUGACAUCCUUCGCAAGAAAACGCAAGGACUAAAAGAAAAAGAGUGAGAGAAAAUAACAAAUAAGGAAUAAAGACCAGACAGUGAAGUUCCUAAAAGGAAUAGCAUAUAUUCUGCUUAACUAGCUCUUUAUUC